AGAGUUUGAUCAUGGCUCAGAACGUACGCUGGCGGCACGCCUUAUACAUGCAAGUCGAACGAAGUAGCAAUACUUAGUGGCAGACGGGUGAGUAACAUGUAGGUAUCUUCCCUUUGGUGAGGAAUAACACGAGGAAACUUGUGCUAAUACCUCAUAAGUCUUUACGGAGAAAGCUUUAUGCGCCAAUGGAUGAGCCUGCACUUGAUUAGUUUGUUGGUGGGGUAAUGGCCUACCAAGACUUUGAUCAAUAGCUGAUCUGAGAGGAUGAUCAGCCACAUUGGGACUGAGACACGGCCCAAACUCCUACGGGAGGCAGCAGUAGGGAAUAUUGCACAAUGGAGGAAACUCUGAUGCAGCGAUGCCGCGUGAGUGAAGAAGGCCUUUGGGUUGUAAGCUCUUUCGUCGGGGAAGAAAAUGACGGUACCCGAAUAAGAAGGUCCGGCUAACUUCGUGCCAGCAGCCGCGGUAAUACGAAGGGACCUAGCGUAGUUCGGAAUUACUGGGCUUAAAGAGUUCGUAGGUGGUUAAAAAAGUUGGUUGUGAAAUCCCGAAGCUUAACUUCGGAACUGCAAUCAAAACUUUUUAGCUAGAGUAUGAUAGAGGAAAGCAGAAUUUCUAGUGUAGAGGUGAAAUUCGUAGAUAUUAGAAAGAAUACCAAUUGCGAAGGCAGCUUUCUGGAUCAUUACUGACGCUGAGGAACGAAAGCAUGGGUAGCGAAGAGGAUUAGAUACCCUCGUAGUCCAUGCCGUAAACGAUGUGUGUUAGACGUUGGAAAUUUAUUUUCAGUGUCGCAGCGAAAGCAGUAAACACACCGCCUGGGGAGUACGACCGCAAGGUUAAAACUCAAAUGAAUUGACGGGGACCCGCACAAGUAGUGGAGCAUGUGGU
rnacentral:rRNA from 1 species